rnacentral:rRNA from 1 species
UACGUAGGGGGCAAGCGUUGUCCGGAUUUACUGGGCGUAAAGAGCGUGUAGGCGGCCAAGCAGGUCCGUUGUGAAAACUGGAGGCUCAACCUCCAGACGUCGACGGAAACCGCGUGGCUAGAGUCCGGAAGAGGAGAGUGGAAUUCCUGGUGUAGCGGUGAAAUGCGGCAGAUAUCAGGAGGAACACCGGUGGCGAAGGCGGCGACC